rnacentral:rRNA from 1 species
GUUCUACCUUGACGAAUUGUAGUUUAAAGAAGUGUUUUCUGUUAGAGGAGUAGCAAAAGUUCCUUGGAAUGGGACAUCAUAGAGGGUGAGAAUCCCGUAUUUGGUUAUUCUUUCUAGCUUUGUGAUACACUUUCAAAGAGUCGGAUUGUUUGGGAAUGCAGUCCAAAAUGGGUGGUAAAUUUCAUCUAAAGCUAAAUAUUGGCGAGAGACCGAUAGCGAACAAGUACCGUGAGGGAAAGAUGAAAAGAACUUUGAAAAGAGAGUUAAACAGUACGUGAAAUUGUCAAAAGGGAAGCGUUUGACACCAGUGUUGUUUUUCCGAAAAUCAAUUAAGAAGGGCUUGAUUUUGUGUUGUAUUGACCUUAUCAGCUUUCUUCACUCUUUUUCGAGUCUUUCUU